rnacentral:tRNA from 1 species
AGUCUUAUAUUCAACUAUGAAAUUAAAUUGCAAAUUUAAAGGUGGGCAAGCCCUAAGGCUU